rnacentral:tRNA from 1 species
CGGGGUGUGGCUCAGCUUGGCUAGAGCGCUUGAUUUGGGUUCAAGAGGUCGCAGGUUCAAAUCCUGUCACCCCGA